UAUGCUCCAGGUGACCAGCUGAGGUUCUGGCUGACCAUCCUUGGUCACUCCCUGACUAAGGAAUAAAUCCUGAAGGAAAAAGAAGAAAACACUGAUACUUUUACCCUAGGGUGAAUGAAUGAAGCUAUGAAAGUAUCUGUCCCUAGCAGGCUGAAACACAAUAUCCAUAAUAUCAUUUCUUCCUAACAACAACCCUGAUAAAAAGAAAAAAUAUUUUCUUCAUUUUACAGGGAUGAGGACAGGACCCCGAAUACAGAUGCUUCAGAUGCUUCUGAAAAUCAUAUUUAUGAAGAAGUGCUUAAGCACUGAGGAUGGCCAUCCAAAUGGAGAGACGACUGAAGAGAUUUGAAGCAACCUUCUGAAAUAAACCAAACUGUAUUAUUUGAAGAUCAUUCUCUGAAGUCCAAAGAUGAAACAGAUCAAACACUGUAUCAUUUGUUAAGAGUACUUCUAAAAGUUGGGGUUGCUGUACUCCAGAAAAAUCAAAGAACUAAGGUGAAUUUUGAAGUAUCUGUUUUUGGGGGCAGACUACAGCUACAGCAGAGUAAUUUUUAAAAUGUGCUCGAUUUUCAAAAUAAAAAUGUUAAAUCAUAAUAAAACUUCAAAAAUUCCUGCAAAAACAAAAACGAAAUGAAAUGCCAAAAAUAAAUGCUUGGAAGCACCAAAUAAUCCAGACCAUGGCCACAACUUGAUAUACCUUCUAUGUUAUGAAGACUUUAGAAUUUCUGUCUCCAGAAUUCAUCUGUAUUCUGAAUACUAAGCCCAAAUCCUCAACUGUCUAUUUCAUGUGUCUGCUUGAAUGUCUCAUAUGCUUUUCAGACUCAAUAUAUUAAAAACAGAUUUCAUCAUCCACCCUGAUCUGCUUUUCAUUUGGUUUUCUCAUCCACCCAGUUGUUGCUCAAAGGAGAACACUGGGAAUCAUUUCUGAGACUGCCUACUUU